rnacentral:piRNA from 1 species
AUGUGGACAGGAGUCGAAGGACU